rnacentral:rRNA from 1 species
UACGUAGGGUGCAAGCGUUGUCCGGAAUCAUUGGGCGUAAAGAGCGUGUAGGCGGCCUGACAGGUCUGCUGUGAAAACUCGAGGCUCAAACCUCGAGAUGUCGGCGGAAACCGUCUGGCUAGAGUCCGGAAGAGGAGAGUGGAAUUCCUGGUGUAGCGGUGAAAUGCGCAGAUAUCAGGAGGAACACCGGUGGCGAAGGCGGGUCUCUGGGCCGUAACUGACGCUGAGGAGCGAAAGCAUGGGGGAGCGAACAGG